rnacentral:rRNA from 1 species
UACGUAGGGACCAAGCGUUGUUCGGAUUUACUGGGCGUAAAGGGCGCGUAGGCGGCGAAUCAAGUCAGCUGUGAAAUCUCCGAGCUUAACUCGGAACGGUCAGCUGAUACUGUUUUGCUAGAGUGCAGAAAGGGCAACCGGAAUUCUUGGUGUAGCGGUGAAAUGCGUAGAUAUCAAGAGGAACACCUGAGGCGAAGGCGGGUUGCUAGGCUGACACUGACGCUGUAGCGCGAAAGCUAGGGUAGCAAACGGG